rnacentral:rRNA from 2 species
GUCGUCAGCUCGUGUCGUGAGAUGUUCGGUUAAGUCCGGCAACGAGCGCAACCCACGUCCUUAGUUGCCAGCAGUUCGGCUGGGCACUCUAGGGAAACUGCCGAUGAUAAGUCGGAGGAAGGUGUGGAUGACGUCAAGUCCUCAUGGCCCUUACGGGUUGGGCUACACACGUGCUACAAUGGCAGUGACAAUGGGUUAAUCCCAAAAAACUGUCUCAGUUCGGAUUGGGGUCUGCAACUCGACCCCAUGAAGUCGGAAUCGCUAGUAAUCGCAUAACAGCAUGACGCGGUGAAUACGUUCCCGGGA